rnacentral:rRNA from 1 species
GAUGAACGCUAGCUACAGGCUUAACACAUGCAAGUCGAGGGGCAGCAUGGUCUUAGCUUGCUAAGGCCGAUGGCGACCGGCGCACGGGUGAGUAACACGUAUCCAACCUGCCGUCUACUCUUGGACAGCCUUCUGAAAGGAAGAUUAAUACAAGAUGGCAUCAUGAGUUCACAUGUUCACAUGAUUAAAGGUAUUCCGGUAGACGAUGGGGAUGCGUUCCAUUAGAUAGUAGGCGGGGUAACGGCCCACCUAGUCUUCGAUGGAUAGGGGUUCUGAGAGGAAGGUCCCCCACAUUGGAACUGAGACACGGUCCAAACGCCUACGGGAGGCAGCAGUGAGGAAUAUUGGUCAAUGGGCGAGAGCCUGAACCAGCCAAGUAGCGUGAAGGAUGACUGCCCUAUGGGUUGUAAACUUCUUUUAUAAAGGAAUAAAGUCGGGUAUGUAUACCCGUUUGCAUGUACUUUAUGAAUAAGGAUCGGCUAACUCCGUG